UAAUUAAUCGUAAUUUUGAGGUUUUGUGUAUUGAAUUUGUUUUUAGUCAACUCAUAAUGUCUUAGUUUUAGAUUUAUACUAAAAGCAAACAAGCAAUUGUAGUGCUUUAUAAAAUGUACGACGUGAAUUUUCCUAGUAAAUCUGAUCAUUUUUCAAUAAUUUAUGAUUUUAAAAUUGAAAGUUACGACACUUCGGCCCUUAAUUAUUGUAACCAGAUAAGCCAUAACGUGGUAUUUGAUUUGAGUAAACAAGAACAAAUUAACUCUAACAUGGAUCAGCAUAAUAACUCUAUUGAUAAUGUUGAUAAUGGCAAUAGAUGUCGCAGUCCUUCGAUCCGCCGACAUGAUGAUCCCAGUCUAGUAAUUGUUGAUGUUGAAGCAGCUGAACUAUUACAACAAUCGGCUUACCCAACUCAUCAACAGCAACAAUUGAUCGACGAACAAGCAUUGUUAAAAACUGUCACUGUUAACAGAGGAGCAGUUCAGCAAACCACCAGCAACUGUUAUACAGAAUAUGUAAGAAUUCCUUUGACAUAUGUCAUUGGAGUGCCUUUUUGUUGGUUAUUGCUUGGAGUUUUUCAAUAUUUUGGAUGUGUUGCUGUUUUGGGAGAUAAUCUAUUGGAUCCUUGGUACUUCACAUGCGCAUGGCUAGUAGAAAUUGUGUGUACUCUUCAUGCUGUAGUUAUAUUCAUGAUAGUAAAGUGUACAUACGUGCGCGUGGGUAUUUUAGAAUAUUGUGAAAAAAUCACUUGGAUUGGUUUCACAUUUUUGUUGGCACAAGGGCUAACUAUUAUUUUGUUUCUACUUCCUAUCAGCUACAUUUUUAAAAUAACCAUAGGUAACUUCUCUAAGCCAAUGAAUUUUUUUAUUUUUUGGACUAUGAUCGCUUUUCCUCACGUAAUGGCACUUUGCUUCGCAUCGUUUGGCUGUUGUUCAAAGUUAUACAGUACAACAUUAAGCAAUGCUUAUCUAUAAUCUAUGAUAAAAAUAUUAAUAUCUAUGAAUUCAGGGCAUUCUGGGACGUCCAAUGAGGAUAUGCGUUUUUAUGCAAAUGAUACAAUAGACAAAACAUUAUCUUAUUGAUAGAUUAAUUUAAAAGUAGUAUUUCUUUUAUUGCACUUGCCUUACUAUAUUAUAAUCAUUAUAACUAUAAGCUAAUAAGUUUUACUUGAUGUACAUUUGUUAAAAGUGUGAUUAAAAUAUUUGUAAUGCUAUUUGAAUCGUGUUCAGGGCCGUAUAUGAUUUUUUGCAUCCGAGAUACAAAAUGAUGUACUCUAUUAAUAUAAAUAAUAAGUGUAUAUAUUUAAUAAAUUAAUUAUUAAGGGUUGAAAUACACAUAAAAUAGUAAAUUUUAUAUUUAAAUAACACUUAAUUACUGAAUGCCAAUAAAAACAAUUUAAAUUAUAAAGUUAUAACACACAUUUUUAACUUAUAUUGUUCAAACAUUUAAUACUCUACUACACUCUACUGUUUUUUAUUUAAUAAAUAACUGAUUAAUUAUUAAUUUUAUAAGACUAAAUUUAUACCGAAAUUCCACUCCGCGAAAUUCUAUUUAAUUUAACAAAAACAAUAGGAGCCAAUUCGUUACAAAAAACAUGUACAUUGUCUAUUACAUAUAAUAUCUAUUAGAUAUAAAUAUAUAUUUGUGUAUUAAUGUAUGUUUAACGUAAGUAAAACUCUGGCUAAUAAGAAAUAAUACAACAUAUAAAUAUAAAUCAUUUUUUUUUGUUUUAUUAACAAAUUAAAAUUAUAAUUCAGACUAAGUAAGAAACGUUCCUGUCUUAAUAUCCUAUCUAAAAGUGAAAAAUCGUUUUAAAACAAUUAUAUUAAAUAGAAAUUCACAAGAAAGCUUUUAUAUAAUAGAAAACUCAUACAUAUAUACCAAAUUAAAAUAAAGAUUGUUACUUCUCAAUGUCUUAAUAAAAUUUUAACUAAUUCAAGCCUAGUACUUCAACGAAAUAUACAUAUUGUUCUUGCGAGUAAAUAACUGUCAUAACGACUUUUUAAUCAUAGAUGUAUCUAGUUACAAUACACCAACUGUCGUAAGAUCCCAAGUUCGAUUUCAAAUCUUUAUUUUUUGCACAGUGCACAGUUAAAUUAAAACUAGAUUUUUGAUUCUCGUUAAGUGAUCAUAAUCGGGCUCAAUAUUUAAUGAUAUGAUCAAAUUAAUUAUAUGUAAAUAAAACACUAUUCUAACUUAAAGUUAAGUAGAAACUAUUAAAUUACAUCUUAAUAUAUACCACUCGGUUAACUCAUUGUGUUUUCCCAUCGGAUUUGAAUAUUUGCAUUCAGUUAAGAAAAACCCAGCACAGGGGGGUCGCGGCACAGUGGUGACGUGGCAUAGUUGGAUCAAGUAUAAUGAUAUCUGACAGUGAUUAAAAUCACAAUCAAAAAUAAACGCUUCGAUGCAAAUCUUUAGAUAGUGUUUAAUUAAAAAAAAAUUGGUGUUUUAUUCCAAAAGCUACUUGAUCUGCUGGUUCCUUAUUAAUAUCUCGAUUAAGAUAAAGUAUGUCGAAUGAAAAAGGGUUUAUUAAAAAAUAUUAUUUCUCAUAAAAAAAUUGUGUGGAUCCAUAAACUUUUCAAUAAGUUAUAGCAUUAUAAAGUUAAAUAUAAUAUAAAUAAUAAAAUCGAGAAUUUUCACACGAAAAUAGCAUUCAGUAGCCAUUUUCGCCGUGAAGACAAGUCCAGAGGUCAAAUUUUUUUUUUUCAAAUUAAAGUAUAUUACAUUAGCUUUAAUUUAAGAUAUAUAUAAAAGUGUCAGACCUUCCGGAACAUUUUCAAAAGUUAAGUUGAAAAAGUUAAUUUUUUGUGAAAAAGUUGUCAUUUUAAAUUCCCCCCUGUGGGCAGAAAAAAGGUCAAAUUUACAAAAAAAAUAUACCAAAUGAUAGGUAAAGACAUCAAGCAUCUAUAAAAAAAUUUAUAAUGAUAUGUUCAUUUUUAAAAAACUUAUGGCAGUUUUAAACAAAAAAAAAUUGAAAAAAUUGUCGAAAAUUAGCGAUUUUUAAAUUUGUAAUUUUUUUGGAGGUUUCCCCCAUUUACGGGGAACGAGGGAAAUUUUUCCAAUUUUGAAGGGUAAUGUCUUCGACUAGAUACGAUUUGUGAUCUUUUGACGUAUCGUUGAAAGAAAUCCGUUCGGUGAGAGCUGAGAAAAAGUGGUAACAGACACAAAAAAAAAAAAACACACAUCAUAGUAAAACCAAUACCUUCUCAGCUUCGCAUCGAAGCUAAAAUGAUCAAAAAAUAAAUAUAUAACGAAAUUAUAGUUUUCGUUCUAUGAAUCUUGUCAAUAAAAUAAAUCUUAAUGUUUGUCAUAUUAUACGACUAUUCAAAUGAAUUAUUAUAAAGGUACAUUAAAAGAUAAGAUUGUGAUCUUACUUAAAAAAAAAAAAAAUCGACAGUAAACUAAAAACUAUUGGAUAAAAUUUUAUUAUUACUAUCAUUCAUCAAUUAUGUUUUCUAUUUGAGAUUAUAAUUUACUCACAGUAAAGAACAUUCGUUCUGUUUAUUCGACAUAAUUAAAUUGUACCUGUAAACAAGAUCAAUCGCUUAAUGAGGUCUCACGAAUAUCUUGCUAUAAUUUUUAAGUCAGAAAAAAAUUGUAGUGAAUUAAUACUUUCAAUAAUAAUAUCAAUCAAAAAAUAUUGUUAAUCUUAAAAUCUAGAGUUUAGAAUAAGAGUAAAAGACAAAUGGUCACAUAAGAUUGUUUUAUGAUCAUCAUCGUCACCAUUAAUGUAAACUGUAUGCAAACAUAAAUCGCAUACAAUUACAAAAAUUUACAUUUGACUGUGGGGUAUUUAAGACAAACGAUAUUGUCAAAAUUAUAGUUUAUGGUCAUUGACUGUCUCAGUUGCAUUGAUAGUUUAAAUACACACGUUAAUUACAGAAUGUGAUCCGUCGGGACCGCUUAAGCCACUUUUUAAAAUAUUUUUUUCUGCUAAACAUUUUUACACUCUGUACAGGUAACUCGUGAAUAUUGGGUUAUCCUGUAACAAAUUUGUGGGUAUGACGUCUACUAUUAGAUAUUCCACCGUUAGACCAUAUUUGUUCUUGAAAUUUUUUUUUACAGCUUUUGUAUAUGCUAUUGUGACGCCAAUAUCUGUACGUCUUCGACGUCCAUGUAGUUUACUAACGUCAAAAUGACAUUUUAGGGGGAGGGAGUUUACGACGACCGCAGCGUUCUCCUCUAAUGACGUUAAUUAAUUAGUAUCGAUAGGCAACGAAUCGCCAAAAAUUUUUUGACAUUGGCAGCAUUCUUUGAAUGUUUGGAUCUUUUUCAAGAUGUUUACGUUAUGUUAACUAUAAAAAUAAACAACAAAAAAAGGUAAUUCCGAUGCUUUUUGAUGUGACUAAACAGCAAAUUUAUUCAGAUGCAGACCGUGGGAACGACAUAGAACUUCAAGAGCUCAAUUACUAUCCUAAUAAAAACAAUAAAAUUCUAAAGUUUUCGUCAUAUUAAAUAUAAUUAUUAAAUUGUUUUAUUUUCUACGAUAUUUUGUUAAGUAUGAAGAUUUUAAGCAUGUUGAUUUACCUGACAAUGAAAAUUAUCAAUUCUAUAAAUUAAAAAAUUAUUAAUAACAUCAUACAACUAUAUCAAUUCAACUAGUUUUAAAUUGGAAUGAAUAUUAAAAAUUUCAUCAUUUUACACUUGUCAAAUUAUAUUUAUGUUAAAAUUAAAUAAUAAAGAAAAUUAUUUUAAUUAAAAUUGUUAAAAUUAAA